UACGAAGGGGGCUAGCGUUGCUCGGAAUUACUGGGCGUAAAGCGCACGUAGGCGGCUCUUUAAGUCGGGGGUGAAAUCCUGGAGCUCAACUCCAGAACUGCCUUCGAUACUGUAGAGCUUGAGUUCGGGAGAGGUGAGUGGAACUGCGAGUGUAGAGGUGAAAUUCGUAGAUAUUCGCAAGAACACCAGUGGCGAAGGCGGCUCACUGGCCCGGUACUGACGCUGAGGCACGGAAAGCGUGGGGAGCAAACAGGG
rnacentral:rRNA from 1 species